GCAUAAAGUUUUAUUAUUUAAAAUUAUUUUUUAAGUUAUUUACUUUGAGUGCUUUAGCAAUUUGUGUAUACACAGUAUUUGUGGUGUUAAUGUCACAAGGGUUUAGAUUGAAUCAUACAAACUUCGAAAUUUUUGUAUUACCCAAUCUCACGUCUCAGACCCAAUGUCACCCCUGAUGAUGGUACCCAAUGAAAAUACAUCUAUAUUACGGUGGUCCAAAUCCGGGCUUUUUUUGGGCUACCCCCUGAAAUCAAAGAUUGACCCAUCACUAGGCUAAAUUCCAAACUUGAGCUCAUUCUGACCACGGGAACCUCUCCCUCCAAUCGCUUAAAGUUUGUAUGGGAACAAUCGACAAAAUGUAUGGAAAAAAGCAACUGUUUUACUUUUUUACCUGUGAAAGGCGCCAUAAUUAUCCGAUUCUUACCAUUUCUCGAAUGUAGAACCUUCAUUAAAUUUAGAACAACUUUCCCGAAGACACCAUAUUUUUAGGAUUUUUCCCGCGAAAUUAUUAGCGCCCAAAACUGACAAUUUUUGCGCGGCCAGCUGUAAGGGGCUACCUAACAACGAUGUUUAUUUCCAUUUCGUACACGCACGUGCUCUCUCUCAGGUUCAAACUGUCUCACGAGCUUGCUCGCCUGCCUGCCUGUUUACCUACAAGCGGGCGCUGUUUCUCUGCUUGAACUUUUGUCGUCGUCGUCGUUUCCGUUUGCUAUCCGCUGCGCUGCGUUCCUGGCAUGUUUAUUAUAAUUUUCAAGAUAUAUUCCGAUAUUUAUUUCGAGAUAUAAAGUUAAAUGUAAUAUGUGAUAAAAAAAAAUAGAUAUCAUAUUAUCAGAGCGUGUGUGAGAGAAUACAAAUUUCGAAGAAUUAGUUCCUCCAUGAAUUGUCAUCUGUUAUUAUUGAGUAAAUUUUUAAAUAGGGAUAUUGUAAUUGAAAUUUAUUUCUAGUUUUUUUUAAAUAGUAUCAUACCAAACUGAAGACUGGGAUUUUAACUAUUCUAGAAAUUAUGGGAACUGUUUUUUCCACUUUUGUAUACUAUCAAACAAGCUUACAAAGAAAACAUUGGAAGUUUUUUCGUAGCCCUAUGAUCACGAUUAUUUUUCAUUCCAUACAAAAUAUUUUAAUCUGUCAAAAAUAAAACAAACUUCCUUACAACAAAUUGCGGUAUAUUUUGCCUUUAACGAUUUAUUAGAGGUUUAUGUCAGAUUCCGAAACAUCCAAAAAGUGCAACGAUGUCUAAAAGAAAAGCCUCAAAAAAAGAGAUUGUUGAGCUAGCUAGUUUUAUAUCUGGAAUCAAAUUGCCUUCUAAUGGACUAGCAGUUGGUCGGAUGAUAUUUAGAGUAAAAAUAAAAUAAAAUUGUAUUACCUGAAGUUUUUUUUUAAUAAUUGAAUCAUUCUCUCUAAUGAGCAUAUACGAACAACUGCUUGUAAGGCUUGGAAAAACGAACAAACCCUGUUCAUUUGCUUCAAUUUUUUAAAUGAGCCUAAGCCAAGGCCUAAGCUGUCUUUUAUUCAAAUUAUUUUUUUUGUGCACUUUUUUAAAAUUUUGACUUAAUCUAACAAUUUAUAUGCUAAAUAUUGCGCAAUUCCCACUAACUUGGACUUCUCACUAAAUUAUUGCUACCGUUCGCACAAUUGCGACUUGUCAAACUGCCUUGGGCGAAUGUCCAGUUUGGUGGAAACUGUGACUGGAAAUGUAAUAAACAACUACUGGUUGCCUAGUUUUUCCAAUUCUUGUUGUCAUAAGUGCGAGAGAAUACACUGAAAAUAUGCCACACUUUUUAUUCAAGUGCCCAAACACUUGAAUGAUUGAAUAAAGUCACAUCGUAGAUCUAAUUGGUUUGUGUUUCAACAUCAAUCCAAACCACUAUCAAAUGCAAGUGUUUGGGCGGUUGACUUUUUGGUAUUUUUUAACAUGUUAUUUUCAUUCGGGUGGCUCAAGCUUUUCAAUUGUUUUGCUCAUGAAUUUGUCCCACCGUCUUGAACUAUUCAAAGUGAUGAGCAAAACACUUGAAAAUGAUCUUAAGAUCUACCCAAAACAGGCACUAUUCAAAGUCAACGUGAUUAUCCACAUGAAUUUAAUGUGUUUCACUGAUUGAUUUUUGCGCGACUCGACAUCGAAGGCUAGAAGCGAGGCAAGAACCAAUAGCACAAAAAACUAUCCCGUCUUCAACUGGCCGGCCGGCGCAGUGGUAGCGUGCACGACUAGCAAGCGAGAACCUGUAAUUCGCUUGUACGUACUUUUAUUUUUCAACACCAUUUAAAAUUCAAGUGUUUGGCUAUUGACAUUAUUUCAUGGCCAAUCACCGAAAUUUCAAGUGUUUUGCGAUUGAUAUUUGAGUGCUCUGUACAGCAGGGCCAGAUCAUGUGUAGAACACUUCGUUGAGCUGUGUAAGUUUUGCUCAGUGUAGGUAGCCCCUUACAGCUAGCCGCGCAAAAAUGGUCAAUUUUGGGCGCUAAUGCCUUCGCGAAAAAAAACCUAAAAAUAUGGUGUCUUCGGGAAAGAUGUUCUAAAUUUAAUGAAGGUUCUACAUUUGAGAAAUGGUAAGAAUCGGAUAAUUAUGGCUCCUUCCACAGGUAAAAAAAUAAAACAGUUGCUUUUCUCAAUACAUUUUAACGAUUUUUCCCAUACAAACUUUAAGCGAUUGGAGGAGGGGGAUACUAUCAAACCAAGCAAGAAUCCCGAAUUUCGUUUAAAUCGGACCACCCCCUCAAUUUUGGUACCUCCCCGAAAAAUUGAUUUUUGGCGAUUUUUGAGCGAAACCUCUAUUUACAAACGACGAUAGCUCAGGAAGGAAAAGGAAAUUAGACGUAGAAUCCAUUUCCGUGAUCAAAGUUUAGAUAAAGAUAUUUUUUAUCUACAUGUAUUGCACAAUUGAAAACUUUAAAUGGCCACAUCUCAAAACAGCACAUUUAUUUUUUAAAUUUGACCCCACCAAUCACCGUAUUCCCCGGCCAAUUUUACAUAAGAAUCACUUAGUGACAGAAACGAGGGGGACGUCACUCCGCGAUAACACACUAAAACGCACAAAAACGAGCUCGAAAAGCAUCAACGCUACUCAUCGUGCCGAGUUUUCACAUAACGCCACCUUAAAGCAAGUUAUCGCAAGUUAACGCGCGUUAAAGCGAGUUAAAGCGACCAGCGUCUGCUCGACUUUUGAACCAGGGAAAUCCAUCUUGCAACCUUGCCGUCGAGCAGUUUUUGGUCAUGUUUGGCAACUCGGUAUUUGUUUUGGUUUUUUUCAAGCAGUUUUGACAAAUGGAAAAAAACAAAGCAAAGCGAUUUUUUGUCAACGGCCGGAAAAGUUUGUUCCGGUGGGAUCGCCGGCUCCACCGUCCACAGAGCACGGCGCACGUUUUGACGACCGGAAAAGUUAACUUUACUCCCGGUGUGUUGUGUUUGAUCGGCGGCUCUAACAUCAAGUCAGGACUUUGGCGGAAAAUCCUGGCGCAAACUCAAGUAGGAGCAAAGUUUUCGGGUAAUGUUUUUUAGCAGUGAGAUUUUAGUUGUGAUUAUUUUAAUUUUGUAUUUUUUUGUAGGCAGAUAAUCGACGCGCUUGGAUGUAGAUAAGCCUAGACUGAGUUCAUUCCAGUGCCGGCGCUAUUUAUCACCACCUGUUGCCCUGAUUGUGACCUUCCCCCAGCGAAUUGCCGAAACGUUCGCCGAGGAGGAGAAGGGCGAAUUCGCCUGGCUGUCCUCGUUUGUGGGGGGCAUCCCAACAAUCCGGCGGCCAAGAUCCUCGUGGACAUGAGUCGCUACCAGGACGCAGGGUUAGCGAUGGAACGACUUCCGUGACGGUGCUAGGUCAGAGUUGCUGCGCGAGGCGGAAAAGUUGAUCGAGCAAAAGUUGCACCCGCAGACGAUUAUUGCCGGGUGGAGAGCGGCCACGCAGGCGGCACGUUCGGCGCUGAUUGCCGCGGCUCAGAACAAUUCGAAGGUUGCGGAAAAGUUCCGAGAGGAUUUAAUGAACAUUGCCUGGACGACGCUCAGCUCGAAGAUUCUGUCCCAACAAAACUACUUUGUCAAGCUGACCGUCGAUGCCGUGAUGCGAUUGAAGUGUUCUGGCGAAUUGACCGCGAUAUAGCGCAACCGGCGGUUGCUUGGAGGAUUCGUUCCUGGACGAGGGCCAGGUGUGCACAAGCCGAAGCGCACCGAGAACGCAAAGAUCUUGAUCGCCAACACGCAGCUGGCCACGGACAAGAUCAAGGUUUUUGGAUCGAGCAUCAAAAUGGACUCGAUGGCGAAAAUUGCCGAGCUGGAGGUCGCCGAGAAGGAGAAGAUGAAGGAAAAGCUGACAAAUCGGACCAGGUUCGUCUCGGUCGUUGCGAUCUGAUCGAGCAGGUCAUAAUCGGCGAAUACACGCUACUGCGCUUCAGCGGAGUUCCUCUCGGAGAGGCCUGUACCGUCGUAAUCCGUGGGGCAACCCAGCUGAUCAUCGACUAAGCGGAUCGUUCGCUGCACGACGCCCUUUGCGUGCUGGCCGCGGAAACGUCCGGUAAGGAAUCGAUGUCCAUAAAAGCAUUCGGUCGCGUUCUGCUCUAGCUGCCGACGACAAUCGCCGACAACGAAUAGUACCGUUUGUAACGCUUAGCUAAACGAAGAGUGCACGUGUCGAAUCGAAGGACGCUGCAGCGAUGGCAGGACCUGGACAUCCUGGACAGCCGGAGCUUGAGCUUACACAAGUGAUCAUCAGCGCAACAUGGUCUCCAGUUGUGCGUGUAAUUUAGACUUUUAUCCCGACAUAAGCAACCUCGUGCCAGCGAUGGUGACGGCAAAGUCUGCAUAUUUUUCACGGCCCGUACGAGCAGCUGAGUGCCUACACUAAAAGUAAUGCCGUGCGCAGAGUUUCGAGUUUCUCCUGCUCCUCGCGGAUACCAAUAGUUCCGUCGGCGCCAGAUCAAUAACCACCUACCUCAAGCUGAACAUGGUCACCAAGAAUCGGCGCAUCGCCGUUACGUACUUCACUCUCCUCUCGCUCAAGUCGAUCCGCAACCUGGUCUACAAGCGUGGCUUCGUCAAGCAACGACAAUGCUGUAUCACGAUCAUGGAUCAGAUCGAUUGCUGGACGCACUCAACCAGCUGGGCAAUUUUCCGAGAAAGUUCAACGGCUCAAGUGCAUUGUUCAGCAAGCUGGACGUUCCCAAGCACUGGUCUCGCGCAUCUAAAUUACUGCUUACGACCGGUUCAACCUGAUGCGCAAGGAAAUGCCCCACCCGCGGCAUGUACAGUUUUUGUGGAAAAGUUUUCUGGCUGCCGUAGAACAUCAACUUCUGUUGACGAUUUCACCCGAUCCCGCCGCUCUUGAUCAACCACGGCCCCGAUCUUGCCCGUUUUCUCAUCAAAUAAAAUCAGUGAUAAAAUUAUAAAAAAGAUUAUUUUUAGAUGCAGUUUAGUUUCCUUCAGCGAAAGAUUUAUUUAUUAAAAAACGCAUCCCUCUACAAUUGAUUAGUUACUGUUCACAGAAGUGUUGCGUCUUAAUUGACGGACAGUUUGCGUAGCACUAUCCUGGAUGGUCACAUUUCUUAAAGUUUUCACGUGGUUUGAGGUCGAGUCCUUCUUGAACUACCGUUUCUUCGCUUCCCAACGUCCGCAAUCUUGACUCUUCGAGUAUCUUGAUGGAAGUCUUGGCAUUGUCGUUCUGAUUCGUUGCAUUUUGUCGAUCACUUAGUCGCUUUAACAUCGUGAGUUUUCUCGAACGAGAUUCCGGCCAGUUCCGAUUAGCACUCCGACAGAUUUUAGAAUGCCCUAAAUGUCACGGCCAGCUCAAAGAUCUCUCUGACCACCUCCAUGUUGGCACCACUCUUCUCCACGGUUCCUUCAGCCUGCUCGCCUCAAGUCGACGUGAUCAACUCCGGAAGCAAAUGCGCACGAUUCAUUGAUAUUGUCACAACUUUCAUCUGCUCAGACCAGCGGCGCUGGAGAAGUUAGUCCGGGUGGCACGCUUGAAGACGGACCGCGUCCCGUCGAUGUAGAGCGUGCCCUUCUUGGCCGUUCCUGGUCAAUCCUUUUUGCGAAUUCCCAACCUGAGAAGGCUGUCUCCACAAGGAAAUCUACGAAAGACCGCGUCAGUGAUGGAGCCGUCUCGAGUCCCUGGAACACAAACCUGUGGCAGGCGUAGGAAACGGUUCCGGCGGAUGAUUUUUCCCUGAGACUUUUCUUUCAAGAGGAAAACAAAGCAAACUGCUCGAAUGGUUUAACAACGAGAACUGUCAUUUGCUUUUGACAGUUCUCGCUGUCAAAAAAAUCGAGCAGUCUGAUGCGUGAUCGCAACAAAAGGUAAGCCAAAAAGCAAGUUAACGCGGUUAACGCGAGUUAAAGCAAGUUAAAGCGGAAAAGCAAAUGUUAGCGCUGCAAAGGUUUGAAAGAGGAGCUUUAUCGCUCGGUGAACGCAGGAGUGACGUCCCCCUCGGACAGAAAUGAAUAUUUUUCGUUCCAGAGAUAUCGAAUUUUAAUGUUUUGAGUUUUUGAGAUUACCUAAAUCAGCUUCAUUCGCCGCAUCUGAAGCAAACUGGUGUGCUGAUCAAUAACUGCUACCUGGUUAUUUAUUGAAAUAAGAUUUCUUCACAAAUAAUCAUUAUCGAAUUAGGCAAAAAAUUAAUGAACAACACUUUUGGAAACUGUAUAAUCGUAAAUGUUUAUUUGUUUAAAUAAAAAUUACAAAAAAGUUAGUUCUAUACAGUGCACGGCAUGGUGGAAGCAAAAUAUUAUAAAUCGAGAACACCCAUAGAUUGUGAAAACCCCCCGAUUGUGUUCUAAGUCAAAGACAGAUACCUGUCGAAUGCAACCCAGAACAUCCUGAUUGGUUGACAAUUGCCGGAGAUAGGGGAAAUAUACCCUUUCUAAUCAAACACCUAUCUUCGUCAUAUGGAGAGUUUGAUGCUCGAUUAAAGUUCCAAAAAUACUAUUUAGGCUGUAAACUUACCAGCAACAGCACCGCCUGGAGUAAGCACGCAAAUGUAUGCCACUUACUGGGCAAAAAGAUCAAAUUUAAUGCACUUUUGAUCAUAAUUUCUAUUUUGCGAGACCAUUUCUCAUCAUUUUGGUGGCACACACAUCCACACGCAAGAUCAGAGUUUAACUGCUUAACGAAAGUCGCCAUCAAUAUCUUUUCACUUGCGCUAACGAUUGCCAACCUCCUGUGGCCGAAUGGUUACGGGUUUCGCCUCACAAGCGGAAAGUCAUGGGUUCUUCUCAGGGUGGCAGCCUUAGGUUUAAGUUCAGAGGUAGCAGCAACCGUAUGAGUAUAAAACGGUUGCUUCACGUGCUCUUCUAGCAUGUGGAUCAAUCUUGGGAUAUUCCUUUGCGCCUCUUCCCAAAAUACUUUCCUCGUGUCUUCGCAUGUAAAUAAUGCCCAGCCGAUCGGUAUUGCACUGCAGUCCAGUCGCAUUGUCCAGAUCAGAGCAAAGGGAACACCGCAAAAAUAGCACCGCAAAAAGACAAUUGUCUUUACAAGACCCCGCGCGGCAAAUAAUAGCUGCUGGGAAGAGCUUGAAAAAUGACACGAAAAAAUUGUCACCGCGGAUCUAGCGAUACAUAGCGCACAAGGCACAAGGAAUGGAUUUUACAGCAUCUGGAUGGAACAGCACUUUCCCUCUCAAUAGGGACUGUGUUAUAGAUCUGGAAAUGCUUAAUAACAGUAAAAAUGGGUAACACGAUAUAAUAGUCCUUGUAAUCAGGAUUCCGUGUCUUAAUACUCAAACAGAAAAAAAACGAUUUCAAAGCGCAAUGUUCAAUGUUCACAAAAAGUUGCUCUACUCGUUGGUGUACUUGGUUUUACUGAAUUUCAAGGAACACUCCAGAUUAUCCAGCAUCAUUCAAACAAGACCGCUUAUUAGGCUUAAAAUGGGUUUAUUUCCCCUACAUGUCGUUAAAGUUAAAGCAGUGCGUGGCCGAAUGGUAACGCUGUCCGCUUUGUAAGCGGAUGAUUCUGGGUUCGAUUCCCAUCUGCUCCAACCUUCUAUCGGAUGAUGAAGUAAAACGUCGGUCCCGGCCUUGGUUGUUGUUAGGCCGUUAAGUCAUUCCAGGUGUAGGAGUCGUCUCCAUGCCAUAAGUACAAACAACACACCAAACCAAGCCUACUCCGGUGGAAUCGCUGGCGGCGGUUGGACUCGCAAUCCAAAGGUCGUCAGUUCAAACACUGGGGUGGAAGGUUCCUUGGAGUAGAAAGAGGUUUGGGUGCUCUCCCCAUUCAAGCCUUCGGACUUCUAGGUUCGAGCAGAAACUUGCAAUAGAGACCACAAAAGACCCGGGGGUCGUUAAUGUGGAUGGUUUGAUUUUUUUUGUCGUUAAAGUUGGUGUUUCAAAAAAGUAUUUUAUCGAUUUUACCCGGUCACGUAAAUUUCUAGCAGAGCACCCAGUCACGACGUUCUAGCAGGAUUCUAGCAGAGUUCUUACAAGGCUGGUUAUUCUUAGAGCAUUCUAGCAGAAAUGUUCCAUCGUUCUAGCAGGAUUCUGACAGAACCAGCUCUGCUAGAAUAUUUCGUGACUGGGCAAGAAUGCAAGAAUCCUGCUAGAAUAAUUCUAGCAGGUCUGCCAGAUUGCUGUGAGAAUUUUGUUAGAACUUUCUGGCAGAGCAAAUUUGGCGAAUUAAUGAGAAUGACGUAAUUUUCGCCAAACCGCAUUGUGACCGCCAUCUUGUGAAAAAAUCUUGUUGGCAAAAGCCACAUUUUUUUAUUUUGGUCACAAAAUUUGUAUUCAGUGCAUUUUUGUUGGUUUCCUGACCAUUUGGAGUUGGUAAGAUGAUUUUGAAUAGCUCGUGUACUUUGAAGUUGCAAAAAUUUCUUUAUUACAAUUCCGAUCGGCAACUCCGGUAGUAACGACAGAACUUAACCACUACACUCAAAUCCCGGUGGUUUGACACCAACUGUUGUCAAACUAACGGGGCCCCUUUUACACGGAGUUCACACACACUACCAAACGUUUGUUUUGAUAGUGUGCUUGAGCGCCGUGUAAAAAGUGACAGUUCGUCACUUUUUAGUUUGACUCUGACCAACCAACGGGGUACAAACUAAAAAAGUGUCAAACGAAAAAGCGACCAACCACCGGGGGUUGAGUGUAUUUAAAACUUUGGCAGCCGCCUGACGGCCAUCACAUCAUCUACACAGAAAAAAAAUGAUGGUAAUAAUCAUCAGGAAAUGGUGACAGAUUUUAUGUAAAAAAAAUGAUUAAUUUUACCCCAGAAAAUGAUGAAUUUUCAUCAGUUUUUGAUGAAUAUUUCAUUCAUCAGGUUCACAUUUUUACACAUUUUUUAUGUAAUACACUCAACCCCCGGUGGUUGGUCACUUUUUCGUUUGACACUUUUUUAGUUUGUACCCCGUUGGUUGGUCAAAGUCAAACUAAAAAGUGACGAACUGUCACUUUUUACACGGCGCUCACGCACAUUAUCAAACCAAACGUUUGGUAGUGUGUGUGAACUUCGUGUAAAAGGGGUGUCAAACUAAAAAGUGACCCCGUUCGUUUGACAACAGUUGGUGUGAAACCAUUGGGGUUUGCGUUAUUACUCAAAAAAAGAGGUAAUAUUCAACCUACCAAAUUUUCAACAUUCCAAAAUUUAACUUUUUUUUCUGUGUAAGGAUACUCCCGAUCAUUCCCCCCAGCAGGAGAUUUCGGCCGAACCACCAAAAGUGUAAAAAUAGUAGAAGCCAGGAAUGAUCCAAAGGGAAGUAAAAAAAGAACAGUGACGGUGAUUUUUGUUUUCCCUACACAGCAGAAAAUAAUGUAAAAAUGGAAGGUUGAAAACAGAAUGUUGAAAAAAAGAAUGAUGAAUUUUACCUCUCAAAAAAAAAAUCCUUUUUUAAUUGUUGAAUAAGGGAGCGUACUUUUAUUUCGUAACCAAAAAAAAUAGGAUCUUUAGACCCCAUCCCCUCCCUCGUAACAAAAUUUCCAUACAAAUUUUAAAAAUUAUGGAUGGAGCGUAACACGGCCUCCGACCCCCUACCCCUACUGCGUUACGUAAUAAAAGAACGCUCCCUAACGGUUUUUUUUUACAAAAAACUUUAUACACAAAAAUGUGUAACAUUACCUAUUUUUAAUGAAUAUUCAACAUUACCACGGGAUUGAAACUCGUCUGAAAAACCUGUAUCAUUUUCUCAUUCGAAACAGUGGCGCCACGUGGUGGUAGCUGCCCUGUUUAUUACACUGUGAAAUUAUCCAUGGUCAAUCCAAGGAACCAGAAGGUGAUAACAGAAAUGUCCGCUUAAAAGGGGUGCUGCAAAAAAACUUAUUAUUUUUAACAAAUUUUCGACUAAAUCAGCAACGAAUUACAAGUUUGACAGUCCAACUACCGUUAAAAGUGGGUUUUGUUAUUUGUUUUUGCAAAACCGCAUAUUUUUAACGAAAUUGCCAAAAAUAUUCGUAAUCACCUUUUGCCUCUUGGUGGCGCUUUGUGUUAGUAUGUGUGUGGUCGAUGUUAACGCAAAAUCCACAUAACACAGAUCUGUGUAAAUAAAUUACACAGAUUGUAGAACAUGUUCUAGCUGUCAAAACUGUGUACUUUUAUAACACAGAUCUGUGUAAAAAAUUACACAGAUUUUCGAUCAGCUUUCGUUUCAAAUCUGGGUAAAAACCAAAAAACAUAAGAUGGCGACUUUCAUGCAGCUCCGAGAAACUUGGUAAGUUAUUUCUCGUGAUUUUUUCCAUGAAUUAUUGUUAAAUUGUCUUUCUCUAUUAGAUUUUUUAUCAUUUCGGCCAUCGGAAUCAGUCCUAAAUUGGAUUUUCAACUUUUCAGGUAAUGCAUCUCAUGGAAAAUAGCUAACCUUUAUUCUAACCUCUCACGAUUUUUAUUCCAGAUCGGUAGUUUUCUCUUGGAUGUCCUACUUCGUGUGCGGCAGAAGCGCCAGGCUUGCUCGCUGCGAAACUAUCUACACCAGCUAUUCCAGAGGAGGAGUUCCGAAGACAACACGAGCAAACGGAUACUGCGGCUCCUUCAAAUAUUUCAAAAAAUCAAAUGUUUAUUAUGUUUAAAAUCUCAGACUUAAGCUAAUAAAAUGUGCUUUAUUUUUAAAAUAUAUGUUCAAAAUCAUCUUCAGAAUCAAAACCAUAUUUUAUAUUCUACCCAGAUUCUGUGUAAAAUUUUACCCAGAUCUGUGUAAAAUCCUACACAGAUCUGUGUAAAAUUUUACACAGUUUGUUUAAUAAAAAUUACACAGAUUUGACAGACAGCGGCUGUACACAGAUCUGUGUACAAGGCUUCUACACAGAUUCUGUGUAUUCCAGGUUUUGGGCAAUCUGUGUCAAAUUUUACACAGAUCUGUGUUAUGUGGAUUUUGCGUGUUUGCGGACGUGCACGCAGAACACAGAACAGUGAGAACUAGCGAAAAUGCCUCACUUUCUUCUGAUACAAGUCGCCAUAUUGAAAUUGCUUGAAGAUUCAUACCCGUGACAUUACUUAUGCUACUCGUAUACUUGAUUAAUACACGGACGAAAUUAAUAUUCAUCAAAUUCAGCAAAAAUGUUCGCUUUGUGAAAAUUCUGUGUUCAACCAAUAUAAAAAUAACUAAAUCCGAGACCGUUGUAGAUGAUAACUUAUCGGAUGAUUUCACAAUGAUGAAUUGCACCACUAUCGAAACAAGUUGGCCAUGUUGACUUCAAGGCGCGAAAUAGUCGGAAGAAGCUGGACAUCUUCCCAAAGCAGUCCAUCGGCGCCGCAUGGUGUCGAAUGAAGCACAGACAACAGACGUUUGGGCUCGAUUCUUCCCUUGUGUAAAUCAUUGCUACAGUUGUUUUAGUUGUGGCAAUCCGUUUGUGGCGCUGUAGUUGCUUUGCCCUGACACAUUGCCCACUGUCAAAAUAUCGCUUUCCGCCUACUGUCAUUUUCUAUUUUGUCGGUUGUCAACGUUUGUAAUCGUUUGUUCUGGAUGAAAAGUUGAUUUCAGCCGAUUUCAGCAAAAUCUCUCGCGCUUGCAGCUGCUUGACAAAUGUGAGGCAACCAAAGUGGCCAACCUGGUUCCUGAACCGAUUUUAGCCCGGUGUCAUCAUCAACGCAACGGAAGCUGCCACACUCCCCCCGCCUGGUGCCACUCAUGGAAGAGGAUGGGAAUGGGAGGGGGUGGGGGUGUUUGAGGAUCGCUUGCACUGGAAAUCCGGUGGGGGAAUCUGACGCGCCGGGGAGAACAUUCAAAAUUUAGGCCUUUGGUAUGGCGACGAGGGUUCGCCGGAAGUGGCGGAACUUGAAAGUGGGGUGGGUUUCGAGGGCGUUGAAGAGGUUGGUGUCUUGGAGGUGAGGGUUGAAGUGAUCGUGGUAGCUGGUUUGUUGGUUCCGGAGAUAAUCUUCGGAAUACGGUCGUUUGGGGCCAAAAAGUUUACGGGGUUGGCCGUGAUAGUAGCUCUUGCUGACGGCGCCGAUGACUUCCAGACUUUAUCGUGUCAUACCUCGCUAUUUUUCCUUCUUCGACAGUUCCGGAUUGUUUCGUUUCUGGUUCCGGAUCUUUUAUCCUCCAAGAAACGCUUGCCCAUCCUCCCGAUUUCCACCGAGUCUCCUCCUCCUUUUCGCUCCCCUCUGUUGGUUUUGUUUAUAAACACAACCAGCAAGAAUUUGACAGCCUCAAGCGCGGCCUUGGUUGCUGUGUUUAAAAAAGCAUCAGACUAGACUAUUUUUCAAUAUCAAUGAUUAAAUGAAAAAAACUUUCAUGUGCUCGUAAAUCGUGUUAAUUAAUAAUUAAAGUAGAUUGACUAUAGCAUUAAAUCGUAAUCUUUACCUAUUUAAUUUUUUUUUUUUUUGCAAGAUUGAAAUAAUAUAUUUUUUAAAUAUUUCUGGGUAAUGCAUUUUCAAACACACCUUCUCAGAAAACCAUCAUGGCUGCUUUAGAGAGUGGCAAUAGGCUAACAGAUGGCGUUAGUAGAUUAGCAGGAUGCGGCAGCCAUGUUUUUACACACGAUUUUCAAAUUAUUUUGUUCUAGCCGCUACGUCUGUUGUCUGUGAAUGAAGGUUAGCUCGCGGUGGGCUUCCGGCCAAGCUGCAACGUCGUCGGGAUGUGGAAUUCCCCCGGAAGCCGCACGCUCAUCUCCCCGAAGCAGUCCAUCGGCGCCGCUUGGUGUCGAACGAAGAUGAGCUCCCGGUGGGAUUCCGGCCAAGCUGCAACGUCGUCGGGAUGAGGACUUCGCGCCUCCCCGUCGGAGACUGCUCGAUCAAAAUCGGUAUCCAGGACGAGUGAAAAAGUGAAACUUUAACGACCUCUUAAGAAGAAAAAUGUUCAUUCAGUUGGAUUAAUGUCGGUGAGAAUAGAUUUCUUCGAAAUGCACUGUAUUGUUGUGUUAAUAAAACUGUUGUUUAGCAUUUUAUUUUGCUUGCUUUUAUUUACAUUGACGACUUUGACAUGAUAACCAAUUCGAUACCUAUCCCUGGUUUCAAAAUAGGGAUUUGUGUAAUAUUACACUUUUUUUUUGUACAUACAUGUGUGUAAUUUUAAGUGUUUAUUUUUACCAAGGUGAUGUGCAUGCUUUUGCAUGCGAUUUUACCAUCGGAUUUUUUGCUGUGUAGGGGUGGGGAAGGAGCGCACUUCACCCACGUGUGACUUUCACCCGGACGCUGUAAACCAAACCUUCCUGUCAAGCUACAUCUCUGGUGAACCCGUGCGCAGGAGAACAGGACCUGAUAAUCCGUACAGUUUUGCUUUCCGAUCUGUGCAGCAAUGGGAAGUGGUGAAUGCUGUGUGGGAUAUUAGUUCUAACGCUACUGGACUUGACGGACUGCCGAUUACCUUCGUCAAGAUCAUCUUGCCACUGACCAUACAGCAAGUUUGAAUGUACCUUGAACAAAAUCAUCCAUUAAUCAAAUGAAGCUGGCUCACAAUAUAAAAAUCGGUUUCAUAUGACCAAUCUUAUACACCAUAAAGCAGAUUUGGGGUUUUUGCUGCAUGGCACUACUUUGAUACCGCCCAUGACAAAGGCCCUAGUCAUGGCCUCGGGGUACUCUAAAACGGUUAACAACACGUAAAAAACGGUGCAUUAAAAAUAACCCAAUAA